CUACCUACCUCCCACCCCCGCCAUCACAACUCCACCACCUCCUCUUGCACAUGUUACGGCAUUUAGUAAACUGCAAGGGGGGAAAAACACAAAUCUGGCCGAUGAAGAACGGGGAGAACGUUUAGUUUUCUCCCAGGAUGCACCUCCUUCUGCUCCAGAGCUGGCGGAAAGGAAACCGCUAAAACUUUUAGGUAGAGAUCCUACACUUUCCAUUAUGUCACUGCUAAAUGGUUCAUCAAAAGCUGGAAUCAGAAUUAAAGGAAGAGGGUGUCACUGGCAAGGCCAGAAUUUAUUAUGCAUACUUACUUGCUCUUGAGCAGGUGGUGGUGAGCCAGCUCCUUGAACCACUGCAGUCUCCCUGGUGUUAGGUCCAUGCACAGAACAUUUACAGAUGGAAUUCCAGGAUUUUAAACUCAGCAACAGCGAAGGGCAGGUAUAGUUUGAAAUGUGACUUGAAAACAAAACUUGUGAAUGGAAUAUCAGCAUCUGGUGCCCUCAUUUAUCUAGGUGGUAGAGGACAUUGAUGAGGAAGAACGGUUGAAGGCAUCUUGACAAGUUUCUGAAUUGUACCUUGUAAAUGGUAUACAUUCCAUUUUCUAUUGGUGGGAAAAUCGGGAGUAAAUGAUUUAAGUAGUCUUUUGGUGCCAAUUAAAUGGGCUGCUCUGUCAUAACAUAUGUCAAGCAUUGUGGGUUUUUUUUUGGCGUACAUUCAUCCAGGUGCAUUAAAGUAUUCUAUAACACUCCUGAUUUGUGCUUUAUACAGAGACUUCAGGGAGUCAAAGUUAAACCAGUUGGCACAGUUAGAUUUCUGAUCAAUGGUAACCCUGAAAUGUUGACAGUGGGGCAUUUAGUGAUGUAAUGCUGUUGAAGGUGAACAGGAGAUGGUUUCCACUGACUUCAAUUUUGCUAGAGCUUCAUGAUGCCAUACUUUGUAAAAUGCUGCCUUGAUGGUCAUCAGUAUUCAUUUAAACCUCACAUUUUGAUUGAGCUGUUUUGUCCAUGUUUCCACCAAGGCUAUAAUGUGGUCUGCAGCUAAGCAGUCUUGAUGAAACCCAAAUUGAAUACUGGAGCUAGUUUUUGAUGGUUUAAUCCUGCUUUUAUUUCUCUGUACUCACUCUUUCUUGGUUAAUGUAAAGGGAAUGCAUUAUAGAAGUUUUACUUUUUAAAAUUAGUCUUGCUAUUGGUGAGACCACAUAAGAUCUCAAAGGGAUUGGAUAGAUUGAUAACCUAGUUGAUUCUUCCUCAUGUAGGGGAGACUAAAACUAGGGACGUAGUUGAAGAAUAAGAGGCCUCCCUUUUAAGACUCAGAAGUAGUUAACUUUUUUAUACUCUCAGAAAGUCUUCAGAGUCAGAGUCAUACAGCAUGGAAACAGACUCUUUGUUCCAACUCAUGCAUGCCAACUAAGUUUCCCAAACUAAAUUAGUCUCACUUGCCUGCAUUUGGCUCAUAUCCCUCUAAACCUUUGCUAUUCAUGUACCUAUCCAAAUGUGUUUUAAAUGUUGUAACUAUACCUACAUCAACCACUUCAUCUGGAAAUUCAUUCCACAUAAAAAUCACUCUAUCUAAAAAUAAUUGCCUCUCAGGUCCUUUUAAAUCUUUCUCCUCUCACCUUAAAAAUAUGUCCCCUAAUUUGAACUCCCUCACCUUGAAGAAAAGACCUUUACUAUUCAAAUUAUCUGUCUCCCUCAUGACUUUAUAAAUCUCUAUAAGGUCACUUUGCAACCUCCUACACUCAGUGAAAAAAGUUCCAACUUAUCCAGCCUCUCCUUACAACUCAAACCCUGCAGUUACUCUUAAAAUUAACCCACAGAGUUCAUCAAUCCCUGACAAGUGAUCGAUCAUUAAACUAUUAUAAUUAGCACAACAGAAAAAUAAAUCUGACAAGUCAUGACUAUGUGUCUUCUGCGUUUACUAGUUUUAACUUCAAUGCAGUGUUCUGUGUCACCUCAUUCAUCAAGAGAUGCCCCAGACAGGACAAUAGAGAAUUACAGCUGGUGAUUCCAUGGUCCUAUAGUGCAACAAGUACUUGUAGAAUUAUUUUCUCCAGAAGGUACUCAAGGCUGCAUCUUUAAAUUUACCCAUGGCUGAAUUAGAUUGAUUUUUGAUAGACAAGGGAGUUAAGGGUUAUUGGAUGCAAGUGAGAAAGUGGAGAUGGGAUCACUGUCAGAUUAACCAUGGUUUUACUGAACAGUGGAGCAAAUUCAUAGAGCCAAAUGACCUACUCCUGUUUCUAAGUUAUAAGUCCUAUGUUCUUAGAGGCAUCUAACUUUGAAACAGAAACUUGCAGACCAGUCAUUGUGUUUAAGUUCUAAUAUGCCACUGAAGUAAUUAGAAACCUCUU